rnacentral:rRNA from 1 species
UACGGGGGGGUAAGCGUUGUUCGGAAUUACUGGGCGUAAAGGGCUCGUAGGCGGCCAACUAAGUCAUACGUGAAAUCCCUCAGCUUAACUGGGGAACUGCGUGUGAUACUGGAUGGCUUGGAUUUGGGAGAGGGAUGUGGAAUUCCAGGUGUAGCGGUGAAAUGCGUAGAUAUCUGGAGGAACACCGGUGGCGAAGGCGGCAUCCUGGACCGACACUGACGCUGAGGCGCGAAAGCUAGGGGAGCAAACGGGG